rnacentral:rRNA from 1 species
UACGUAGGGUGCAAGCGUUGUCCGGAAUUAUUGGGCGUAAAGAGCUCGUAGGCGGUCUGUCGCGUCGGCUGUGAAAACCCGAGGCUCAACCUCGGGCCUGCAGUCGAUACGGGCAAACUAGAGUACUGCAGGGGAGACUGGAAUUCCUGGUGUAGCGGUGAAAUGCGCAGAUAUCAGGAGGAACACCGGUGGCGAAGGCGGGUCUCUGGGCAGUAACUGACGCUGGAGGAGCGAAAGCGUCGGGGAGCGAACAGG